GCGGUGGAGCAUGUGGUUUAAUUCGAAGCAACGCGCAGAACCUUACCAGCCCUUGACAUACCGGUCGCGGACACAGAGAUGUGUCUUUCAGUUCGGCUGGACCGGAUACAGGUGCUGCAUGGCUGUCGUCAGCUCGUGUCGUGAGAUGUUGGGUUAAGUCCCGCAACGAGCGCAACCCUCGCCCUUAGUUGCCAGCAUUUAGUUGGGCACUCUAAGGGGACUGCCGGUGAUAAGCCGAGAGGAAGGUGGGGAUGACGUCAAGUCCUCAUGGCCCUUACGGGCUGGGCUACACACGUGCUACAAUGGUGGUGACAGUGGGCAGCGAGCACGCGAGUGUGAGCUAAUCUCCAAAAAGCCAUCUCAGUUCGGAUUGCACUCUGCAACUCGACUGCAUGAAGUUGGAAUCGCUAGUAAUCGCGGAUCAGCCAAGCCGCGGUGAAUACGUUCCCGGGCCUU
rnacentral:rRNA from 1 species